CUCUUUCUAGAACAUAUUUCUGUUUCCAAACUACGAGCAUUUAAUCCAACACGUGUGCAGAAUUCCAGAAUUGCUGUUUACGCCUUGACUCAAUUCAGGAAGAUUUACAUUUGAAUCUUUUCCUUCAUUCCAAUAAAACUAUUGACAACCCACUGAGAACUAUUUUUCAACAACAAGCCAUGCAGCGAGCCAUUUAAUUGUUCUACUCUGUGGUUUCCCUUUAGAAGCAUGUCAUGUUAGACACAAUGUAUAAAUAUUGCUAAUUCUAAGAUGAAGAUUUACCCUUUAUCAGUAGAAUUCUGACAAUAGACUUGCUAUGAUACAGUUUUACUGUCCAACUAUAAAUUUCACUUUAAUUAUUAAUUUAAG